rnacentral:rRNA from 1 species
GACGAACGCUGGCGGCGUGCCUAACACAUGCAAGUCGAACGGCAACGCACUGCGUUUGUGGGGUGCUCGAGUGGCGAAGGGGUGCGUAACACGUGAGUAUCCUGCCCUUGAUUUUGGGGUAACUUCAGGAAACUAGGGCUAAUACAGUAUCGGAUCUCAUGUUCCAGUGUGGGGAUUGGAACGUUUCGGCGGUUGGGGAUGGACUCGCGGAUGUUUGGCUAGUUGGUGGGGUAGUGGACGACCAAGGCGUUGAUGGGUAGCUGGCGUGAUAGGGUGGCCAGCCACACUGGAAGUGAGACACGGUCCAGGCUCCUACGGGAGGCAGCAGUGGGGAAUAGUGGGCAAUGGGCGGAAGCUUGAUCCAGCCGUGCCGAGUGGGUGAAGAAGGCCUUCGGGUUGUAAAGCCCUUUUGUUGGGAAAGAAAAGCAGCAGGUUAAUACCCAGCUGUUCUGACGGUACCUAAAGAAAAAGCACCGGCUAACUUCGUG